UCGGGUAUAGCAUAAAGGUAGUGCAGCACAACGCUUCUACUCUGAGUACGAACGGGGGUGCGCGUCGGGGUUCGAUUCCCCGUACUCGAU